UAUUUAAUUACAAUGUAUGGAUCCCGGAAAAAAGAGAUUUGGAUCCUCUCAUACCAUUUCUCUGUGUUUCCAUCAUGUUCUAUUAUCAAAUUGGAUCUAUUAUUCUCUCUCCUAUUAGUUUUUGGUUAGUUGAUAAUCAACAAUUGGAUUGGAAAAAGAAGAAAGCGAAGAAUCAAAACAGCUGUAGAGGUUCCAAAUCCGGAAAAAAGUCAGUGAGGUAACGCCGGCGUCCAAACCCUCGGCGGUAGAAGCACCGCCGCCAAUCUCAGCUUCAGAAACCUUGACAGUAAACUUGAUUAGCUAACUGAAGUUGGCUCUUUCCUUUUGGAUAUCCAACUGUCUCUACUCCAUUGACCUCGUUGCCGAUCCUUCUCUCACUCUAUUCCUCAUUUCGAUUAUAGAGCUUCCGAUCGUGAUCCUUCUCUUCAGUCGCUAUAGACAGAAUAGCCAACAAUGCUCGUGCCUACGAGCCGCGACGAGAGGUAUUCUAGGAGUGCCAGUAGGCUAGUUCAAACUUCUGUUUCACAUUUUUGCAAUUGUUAGUGAAAUCAAGAAAAGAAACAGAUACGAUAUUCUCAAACUGGUUUUUGAAUAUUGUUGUGUCAAAUAGCAUUACUAUAUUGGUACUAGUAUUUCAUUAUGAUUUGGUUA